AAAGUACUCCCUCCGUCCCAAAAUUCUUGUCUUAGAUUUGUCUAGAUACGGAUGUAUCAANUUUAGUAUUAGAUACAUCCGUAUCUAGACAAAUCUAAGACAAGAAAUUUGGGACAGAGGGAGUAGUUG
rnacentral:pre_miRNA from 1 species